CUUCCUCUUCCAAGGACGCUUACGAAAACGGAAGUUCCCUUCGCGCGGCAACUCUGAACUUCCGUCCGCCCAUUUCCGGUUUGGAGUCAUUUCUGAGACGGGCGCUGAAGGGGUCGCGUCGUCUCGCCCAGCUCCUCGAGUAAAUAUGCCUAAUGUAAAGAAGGCUGCUGGAAAAAGAGGUCCUCCAAAGCGGAAACUUGCAGAAGAAUUCCCUCCUGGAGAAGUUUUUACUGACUUGCUGAAGAAAGAUUGGAAGCUUGGUUCAGUUAUAGGAAAAGGUGGUUUUGGUUGCCUGUAUCUUGCUGAUGUUAAUUCUUCAAAAUCUGUUACCAGUGAUGCACCCUAUGUUAUAAAAGUGGAACCUAGUGACAAUGGACCACUCUUUACAGAAUUAAGUUUCUACAUGCGAGCUGCUAAACCAGAGAUAAUUAAGAAAUGGAUUUCAUCUCACAAACUGAAAUACUUAGGUGUACCAAAGUACUGGGGUUCUGGCUUGCAUCAAAAGAAUGGCAAAAGUUAUAGAUUUAUGGUGAUGGACAGAUUUGGGAAAGAUCUUCAGAAGAUCUUUGAAGAGAGAGGAAAGCACUUUACACGCAAAACAGUAUUACAAUUGGGCUUGAGAAUACUGGAUGUGUUAGAAUAUGUUCACGAACAUGAAUAUGUUCAUGCAGACAUCAAGGCCUCAAAUCUUCUCCUGGGCUACAAGGCUCCGCAUCAGGUGUACUUGGUGGAUUAUGGCCUUGCAUUUCGAUACUGCCCAGAGGGCAAUCACAAGGAUUAUAAAGAAAAUCCCAAACGCUGUCAUGAUGGAACGCUUGAAUUUACUAGUAUUGAUGCACAUAAAGGGGUGGCUCCUUCAAGACGUGGUGACUUGGAAAUUCUGGGUUAUUGUAUGAUCUGCUGGCUUAGUGGCAAACUACCUUGGCAAGACAAUCUAAAAGACCCGAAUUAUGUCAGAGACUCAAAAAUUAGGUAUACAGAUAAUAUUAAAGAAUUAAUGGCUGAAUGUUUCCUUGGAAAAGAUAAACCAGGUGAACUAGCCAGAUAUAUGGAAAAAGUGAUGGCUUUGACUUAUACUGAAAAACCACCAUACCAGGAAUUGCGAGAAAUUUUUCUUCAAGGUCUCAAAACCAUUGGUGAGAAGGAUGAUGGUAUAUUGGACUUGGAAGUUUCAGAAAAUGGAGAUGUUCCAGAAAAGCCUGCACUUAAGACUAAAAGAAAACUUGCUGCUGCAUCAGGGCCAGCCACUACUGAUGAAGAUGAUGCAGAAACAAAUGAUAUGAAAGAUCUCAAAAAAAGAAAACGUGCAUCACCUAGAAGUACGGGCUCCCCAGGACCAAUUCAUCACAGCAGGUUGCAGCCAGAGGCUAGUAGCAGCAGCCACCAUUUACAACAGUGAGUGGAGAUACUUUAAGAGAAGGGAAGCUAUCUAGAAGAAGAAAAAAUCUUGGUACUUUUUGGAAUAAUUGUGGUACCUUAUGACCCAUAAUUGCAUGUCAGGAGGACUAUUGAAAGCAAGACCUGUCAGCCUUGUUCCUGAGAGCCAAAAGCAAAAAAAGCAAAAAAAGGGGGAUCAAAAUAUCAGCAUAGUUUAUCUGACAGUUCUUGCUUCUUGUAACUAAGCAUUGAGAGAGACAUUUCUUUUGGAAUAGAAGGAAGAAAAAAUGUUUAAAAACUGGUGUCAUGAGAAAGGGGUGUGGUUAUCUUUAAAAAACCCAGCAAAGAGAGAUUUGUACCCAGAGCUUGAGCAUUCCCAUCUUUGGGUUAGAGAUUGGAACUAUACUGUUGGUUCAACUGAGCCACAUGCUAUCAUUAUAUGAGUUGUUUAGCAGAGCAGGUGGUUUUUGUUCCAGGUGAGAUGUAAGAUGUAGGUGAAAUUUACAGGACCUUACUUAAUUCCACCUGCUGUCUUUUCUGGGAUAUCAAUUUUUGGAUUUAUUUAUUUUUUAUUGAAAUAGAAUUAAGUUCUUCUGCAGUUUAACUUCAAUAUAAUCAAACAUUAAAGAUAUGAUCAACAUUAAAAACAAAUCCAUAUCCUGCUAAAUGGGAGACUAAAAGGAUAUUGUCAAAAGCCUAGCUGGUGUGUUGUAGUGGUUUGAGUGCUGGACUAGGACUCUGGGAGAUUAGGUUUCAGAUCUCCACUUAGUUGUGAAAAUUUACUAGUUGGGCAAAUUAUAGUCUCUUUGUUUCUUUUUGAAAUAAAACAAAAAGAAAAAGAAACAAGCAUGUUCUUAUUCUUUAGCUCUUUUGGGUAGUAAUAAAUUCUUAUUUCUCAGGUUCUUCAUCUUUACUCUCCCUUAUGUCCCUCCUUUCUUCAUGCUGUGCGCUUUUUGGAGAGGAGAUCAGGAUGGGGAAAGUUAAACUAAAUCCAGAGUUAGCUCCACUGCUUAGAAUCCCUCAGCCCCCAAACAUGUCUGAAUAAUAAUAAUAAAAAAAACAUGAAUGCUGUUAUCUGCCUUCUGUUGGAACUGUAAAGAUGUGUACUACUCACCAGCAAUCCCUUUUGCUGCAGGCAGCCACCUCUGGAAGUCAGGCAAUUGAUUUAGCAGAAGGGGAUAUUAACCCCACAGAGGCUGGUCUUAGAUUUGCCUCCAGCCUUGAAGAGGCAAAGAUUACUGUGCUCACUUCAAGACCCAGUUAACAGAGCCUGAAUGUACUUCGGCACCAGUCUACAAACAAACCAUUCUGCUUUCAAGCAUGUUCAGUCUUCAUUAAAGCAAUGGGGGAUAGGGAGGAGCUUGGGAAAUUGUCCAGUGUCCAAUAUUUUGUUUUUUGGAUAUGAUGCUAGUCUUUUGGAUAGGGUGCAGCUCCAGGAGUUCUGGAUGAAAUAGAUUAGUUUGAUUUUAGGCUUGGUUAUAGGCUGGAGAUAGCUUUGGUCAUUUAGUUGAUUAUUUUUGCCAGGAAUUGGACAAGUUGAAUGCGUCCAUAUUGGUUCUGCAGUUUCAUUCAGUAACUUUUGAUUCCAUUAACCAUGGUAUCCUUUUAAGCUGCCUUCCUAGUCUAUCCUUUUGAGCUACCAGUGUAUGGUGCCUCCAUUCCUUCAUGAAAUACAAGUUCAGAUGGUAGUGCUGGGGGUUCUUGGCUGUUGACAUGUGGAACCCUGCAAGGGUCCAUUUUGUCCUCUGUGUUAUUUGACAUAUUCAUCUAUGGAGGUUUGGGGUUCAAAGCUAGUAGUAUGCUGUUUCCAUGCAUUUCCAAGGAAGCCAGUUUGUUUGUUUGUUUGUUUGUUAGAAUAUUUAUCUCCUGCUCUUUAUCAUGGGAUCUCAGGGCAAUGUAGAAAUAAAACAUAUAAACAAUUUAAUCAAUACAAGAUUAAAGUAAUAAAAUAAUUUAAAUAGUUUGAAAGGCUACAACAACUGGCUCUGCAGACAGACUCAGCCACUGUAACCCAGUAGUUUUUACUUUGAUCCACUGGAAUUGUUCUUGUGUGCUACUAUGGUCAGUGGUUUCAAAAACUGUUGAGAGAUCCAGAAAGAUCAGUAGAGUAGCAGUUCCCCUGUUUUGGUUCUAAACCAGUGUCUGAUAUCAGCCGUGGACUGAAUGAGGACAAAACUUAAUCCAGGCAAUUCAGCCAGCAUACAAGGGGUUACACUCCCUUGAAAUUGUACAUUUAUUCUUUGGUGGUGCUUCUGGUCUGGUUCGUGCCCAGAUUUCUAUGAUGGCCAGGAAUGCAUUUGCACAAUUAAAACUAGUGCACUAUCUGAACGUGGUAUUGGAGCUGGCUAAGAUGACACAUAUCUUGCCCCCCCCCCCCCCCCCAAUUGGGAUUACAACAAUAUUGUCUACAUGCCUUGACUUUGAAGGGUGUUUGGAAGUGCCAGCUGAUCCAAAAUGCUGGAACCAAAAUGGGGCUGUUUACAGGAAGGAUAUGGUUCUCUUGUUACAGCUCCUCUACUGGCUAGUGGUCUGUUUCUAUCACAAUUUAAAGUGCUAGCUAUGACUUAUAUAGUUCCAUCUUGCUCAGCUUCAGUCUAUCUGAAGGAUAGACCCUUCUUGGGCUCUGAAAUUACAAGAGGGCCUUUUCUCAUCCUCACCCCCAUCACAGGCGCAUCUAGUAGAAGCAUACAAUAUAACAUUCUUGGUGGCUUCUCCAGGGCUUGUUAGUCAGUACAGCCUGUACACUUGAAUGCUUCCCUGUCCUUGUUUUUGUAUUGAGGGUAGCUGUGAAAGUUUCAGAGCCUUUUCUUUUUGUGGUUCCUUUGGAAAUUUAGAAAGAGCCAUGAUUCAUCCUACUGGUGUUGCUUUAAGUAUUUAUGUGAAGGCAGUUUGCCCAUUGCAGAGCAAAAUUAAAUGAGGAUGAGAGGACUUCUCACAAAUGUAAGAGAAAUAUCUGCACCCUCUUUCCUUCUUGUUAUUUGCACAAAGUACUCACACAGUUACAUUCAUGUCCUGAAGUAUCUUGGAAGACACAGAUCACAUCUUACAGCAGGCAAGGUGAGAGAUUUCUAUGUUUUCAAAGUGAAUUAGCCAUUAGGAUAUUAGUGAGAACAAAUUAAGGUGUCAUUUACACUCAUGUUAUACUGCAAAUGUACUGUCUGAAUCAGACCUUACUUUAACCCAGAGGUUUUUCUCUACUUUAAAUCUAGCAGAGUGGAAUUUAGUAAUCUGUAAAGCUAUAUUUUGAUUUUUUCUAGCAGCAUGUCUUCUAUCCCUGUACUGUCAUUCAUUCAUAUUUCUAAAUAUGUUUUUGGGAUAGUCCUGAAGGCAAGAAACAACACUGAGGCCCAGUACAGACAGCACAGAAGUGCUGUCCUGGGGCCAAAAGUAGGGCUGGGAAGCGCACAGCAACCUCACACUCCCCAGCCCUAGUGCGUAUGGAGGGCGCCCUCACACAUGCGCCACGUCCAAAUGGGUUGGCACAUGCCUGACACCAUCGCACCACUGGAGCACCCUAUUUGCAGCAUGAAAAGGACCUCUGAAAUGGAGCUUUUUUUUGGGUGUGCACUUCGUUCCCACGGCAACUAGAUUGCUGUGGGAACAAAGCCAGGGAGAAAGAAGCCGAGCGGCCCCUUUCUCCUCUGACUGUGUCUGUCAGGGUGUCCUUAAGCCCUAUGGACACCCCUUUCCAGGCCAUGGAGAAACGGCGUUUUGCUGCUUCUCGGUGGCCUGGAAAAGCAGUGGAUUGGAGCCUCUGGAGUUGCUGGUAUGGCUGCCCUGGCCCCAACCCACUGCGGAAAGGGGCAGCUGCAGACCACCCCUUUUCCGUGGUAUGUACCAUGCUUUAGAGGGUGGGGAAAAGAAACUUCUGUGCCAGUGUAUGUGCAUAUAGAUUCCAGGAUACUGGUCUCUGGCAAGGUCUGCAGCUGCUUACCAUUAAACAUUUGGCAUACAUUUAGUGUGGCCAUUAACUGCAGGGAAAGGAUCCUUCAUAGCCAACGCAUCCAGAAACCAGGCUAACCCCAACUGUGAUGUCACUGGUAGGGUCAUAGUAGAGAGGAUGUUUCUUCAGCAUGUAUGGAAACAAUUCACCUCAGAUUAGAGCAAUGGGGGAGGAAUGUGUGACUUUCCAGGUGUUGUUAGACUGCUAUUCCCAAAAUCCCUAGGCAGCAUAGCUAGUGUUGAGGGACGCAGGAAGUUGUGAUCCACCAACAUAGAAAGGUUUGCACAAUUCCUGUCCUUGAAGCAGGGCUCAUGCAGGUUUAUAGAGGAGCCACAGUGGAUAGAUAAAAUCACAUAUAGAGCUACAGACUGCCUGAGGGCUGCCAAUCCACUGUCCCUAUCAAGUUACUUUAUAUAGCUUUGAAUACUAUAAACUGUAUCUAUGACUUUUACUACUGUAAAUGAAUUUUGGGAGACUCAAGAGUGUCCUAAAACAGGUAUGAGUAGGUUUUUAUGUGGGGGGUGUAAAUCAUUGAUAAGAUUUCCUGUUAUUAUUAAAUAUAUAAUAUUUCCAAAUAUUUUUUAUUAUAUUCAUCUUGUCAUUGUCAUGUCUUAAUAUCAGCUAUAAUUAUUCUUAUAAUACAUUUCAAUAUACAUUUUCAUUUAAAUUCCAAAUAUCUAAGAUGUGUUAUUGUAUUCUUGCCAUCUUUCUGUGCUCUUUCUAAUUUU